GCGGUGUCCCUGCCUGUCGGCGAAGGUAGUAAACUAACCUUUUCUAUUUUGAAUACCAAUGUAGAAUGCUGAGACCAAAAAUCCGCUGUUUAAAGCAAAGAAAUUAUACGAAAGCGAUGAAGUUGCAUAAGCAGUGCGGCCGUGGUUGCAUUAGCGUACGGCCCUCUGCGUGCCUCUACAAAAAUACAUUUUUGUUCUUUUUUUUUAACUUUGUUGCCAUCAAUUUUACACAUCUAAACAGGAUUCAUUUGUAAUCUGUUAUCUUUUACGCCAUAACAAACAAAAUAAUAUUUACAUAAUCUCCAGGUGGUUCUCCAUAUCCACGCUUGGAUGGCAAGAAAGUUGCGAAACUACUUCAGCAGGACUACAGAAUGCCUAAACCACAACAUGUGGAUGAUGAGUUGUACCAGAUCAUGAUGAGAUGCUGGCAAAAUGACCCGGAUGUUCGACCAGCAUUCACUGAGUUAAGAAACCAGCUUAAGGACAUGGA